rnacentral:rRNA from 1 species
GGGUUGUGAGGUUAAGCGACUAAGCGUACACGGUGGAUGCCCUGGCAGUCAGAGGCGAUGAAGGNNCCGAAUGGGGAAACCCAGUGUGACUCGUCACACUAUCAUUAACUGAAUCCAUAGGUUAAUGAGGCGAACCGGGGGAACUGAAACAUCUAAGUACCCCGAGGAAAAGAAAUCAACCGAGAUUCCCCCAGUAGCGGCGAGCGAACGGGGAGGAGCCCAGAGCCUGAAUCAGCAUGUGUGUUAGUGGAAGCGUCUGGAAAGGCGCGCGAUACAGGGUGACAGCCCCGUACACAAAAGCGCAUGUGCUGUGAGCUCGAUGAGUAGGGCGGGACACGUGGUAUCCUGUCUGAAUAUGGGGGGACCAUCCUCCAAGGCUAAAUACUCCUGACUGACCGAUAGUGAACCAGUACCGUGAGGGAAAGGCGAAAAGAACCCCGGCGAGGGGAGUGAAAAAGAACCUGAAACCGUGUACGUACAAGCAGUGGGAGCNNGUGACUGCGUACCUUUUGUAUAAUGGGUCAGCGACUUAUAUUCUGUAGCAAGGUUAACCGAAUAGGGGAGCCGGAGGGAAACCGAGUCUUAAUUGGGCGUUAAGUUGCAGGGUAUAGACCCGAAACCCGGUGAUCUAGCCAUGGGCAGGUUGAAGGUUGGGUAACACUAACUGGAGGACCGAACCGACUAAUGUUGAAAAAUUAGCGGAUGACCUGUGGCUGGGGGUGAAAGGCCAAUCAAACCGGGAGAUAGCUGGUUCUCCCCGAAAGCUAUUUAGGUAGCGCCUCGUGAAUUCAUCUCCGGGGGUAGAGCACUGUUUCGGCUAGGGGGCCAUCCCGGCUUACCAACCCGAUGCAAACUGCGAAUACCGGAGAAUGUUAUCACGGGAGACACACGGCGGGUGCUAACGUCCGUCGUGAAGAGGGAAACAACCCAGACCGCCAGCUAAGGUCCCAAAGUCAUGGUUAAGUGGGAAACGAUGUGGGAAGGCCCAGACAGCCAGGAUGUUGGCUUAGAAGCAGCCAUCAUUUAAAGAAAGCGUAAUAGCUCACUGGUCGAGUCGGCCUGCGCGGAAGAUGUAACGGGGCUAAACCAUGCACCGAAGCUGCGGCAGCGANNGUUGGGUAGGGGAGCGUUCUGUAAGCCUGCGAAGGUGGCCUGUGAGGGUUGCUGGAGGUAUCAGAAGUGCGAAUGCUGACAUAAGUAACGAUAAAGCGGGUGAAAAGCCCGCUCGCCGGAAGACCAAGGGUUCCUGUCCAACGUUAAUCGGGGCAGGGUGAGUCGACCCCUAAGGCGAGGCCGAAAGGCGUAGUCGAUGGGAAACGGGUUAAUAUUCCCGUACUUGGUGUUACUGCGAAGGGGGGACGGAGAAGGCUAUGUUGGCCGGGCGACGGUUGUCCCGGUUUAAGCGUGUAGG